CGGGGCUGGCGGCCUGGCCCACUCCCAGCUUUCUAUGUUUAUCAGGCUGACAGGACAUCCAACCCUCUGGCUAUGGCAUCUUGGAGGAACAGGCAGGCCUUGAAAAUAGCAGAAAUUCCGAAUUCCCCUGCCCCGGGAGGACUCAAAGGACCCUGCUGAGGACAGAGCUGAUAUGGCCUCAGAAUAAAGAUGAGGGAAGACCAUCCCAAGGAAGACCCCUCUAGCCCAUGGCAAAAGGGCUGGAAUACGCAAGGAUUUGAAAAGCAAGUUUUGCUUUCCAUAUAAACCUAAGCAAGUCGCUUAAUCUGUGAGCCUCAACUACUUUACUUGUGCAAUGGGCAUGUUGCUGGUAGUGGUGAUAGCAGGGAGCCACCGAGAGAGCUUCCAAGUGUGCCAUCUAAGCCCUCCUCUGGGGAAGGGAAGCUCCUCUGGGGAAGGGAAACUGGACCCCCGGGAAAAUUUAUUCUCCCAGGGACGAACAUCCAGACAUUUCCCUGUAGGAGCCUCAGUGUGUUCAGAUGUUCACUGUCCAGUAGAAACAAGACAUCUAGGCAACUCUCCCAUCUCACCAAGCCUCUGCUCUCUUCUGUGGCCACUGUGGGGUUGUGAGAGUAAUGUCAAGACCCAACCCAAUUAGAACACAGGGAAUUUUGCCUGGGAAAGGGAGCCCUUCUACCCUACACCCCUGCUUUCUCUCUUCCAAGGAUCAGGUCUGAUUCAUGUCUGCAUCCUAAAGGCUACAAAUAAACUGUGUCCGGAAAGGAAAAUAUUAUGUGUAUUGCCUUCUUCAAGGCUAAAAACCAGUCUCAACAGAGAGG
rnacentral:lncRNA from 1 species